GACAGAGGUCUCGAGCGUUAGGCGGAAUCACUGGGCUUAAAGCGUGUGUACGCGGAGUUCUAAGUACCUUGUGAAAUCCCACGGCUUAACCGUGGAACUGCUUGGUAUACUGGUUCUCUUGGGCCACUUAGGGGCUACCGGAACAAACGGUGGAGCGGUGAAAUGCGUAGAUAUCGUUUGGAACGCCAAUGGUGAAAACAGGUAGCUGGGAGUGUGCCGACGCUGAGACACGAAAGCCAGGGGAGCGAACGGG
rnacentral:rRNA from 1 species